rnacentral:misc_RNA from 1 species
GUAUACAACAUAAAAGAAACAACUGUGUUGAUGAAAAACUGUUGCAGAGAACACAAGACAAUACCGUCUUCGGGGGUACUGAAAUUUCAAGCUUGAAUGCAUAUUAAAGUUGUGUUAAAUGAAGAAAAUGCCAUGUAAGAAGCUUGUAACCUUUUUUCGACGUUUGUAAACAACACGUACUACUGAAGCCGAGUGCUAUGCUGGAAGUGUUGGUACCUCGCUCUACAAGACUUCUUUGCAAGACAUUUCAAGCUACUAUCAAAGUGGGUUGGCUUUGAUUGAUACCGAGUCUAAGGCAAAUGCUUUAUAUUCAAAAGCUUAAAGAGCGAGAAGCUGAAUUGUUAACCAUAAGUUCUUAUUCAACCAGUAUUGAGAAAUCUAAAUCGAUUACCAACUGGUAAAAGAAUUAAAGAGAGUGACAAUUACUACAUCAACAAACAAGUGCCAGCUCCGCUAAUGAA